GGUGCCAUACUUCAAUAAAUUUCCCUCAAAUAUGCAUUCCUUCCAAUGCGCAUAAAUCAGGAAAUCUUACAAUAACUCAAGUAUUAUAAUUUUAGAGUAUAUCAAUCAUCUUGGUUGGCGUGCCAAAGUUGAACAUUUCUUGAAUCAUGGUGGUUACGAUGGCGAUUUUGAUUAUGUGGCUAGAUAUAUGAAUUAUUGUGAAAAAACUGGAUAUAUACAGCCAAUUGAUUUUUGUACUUCAAAAAUUUAAUAAUACGAGUGAUUUAAAUAAAACUUGCAUAAAUAUAUGAUUUAAAAUUGAAUAUAUUUUGUUAUUGUAUUCAAUACUAGCUGAUCCUGCUGGU